rnacentral:rRNA from 1 species
AUUGAACGCUGGCGGCAGGCUUAACACAUGCAAGUCGAACGAGUGGCGGACGGGUGAGUAUUGUCUGGGAAACUGCAUGAUGGUGGGGGAUAAUGACUGGAAACGGUAGAUAUUACUGCAUACCAUCGGAAGUGCCCAGAUGGGAUUAGCUAGUUGGUGGGGUAAAGGCUCACCUAGACGACGAUCCCUAGCUGGUCUGAGAGGAUGACCAGCCACACUGGAACUGAGACACGGUCCAGACUCCUACGGGAGGCAGCGGUGGGGAAUAUUGCACAAUGGGCGCAGGCCUGAUGCAGCCAUGCCGCGUGUAUGAAGAAGGCCUUCGGGUUGUAGAGUACUUUCAGCGGGGAGGCGUUACCCGCAGAAGAAGCACCGGCUAACUCCGUGCCAGCAGCCGCGGUAAUAC